GUAUUGAUUCGCGCGUGAUCGCGCAAAGAACAUUCUACACUAGGGUGUUUGAUGUUUAAAAACGUGAGCACCCCCCUCCGAGGAAGGGGGGACGCACGCGGUGAUGCACAAAGGGGUGAGAUGGAUAUUUGUAUGUGAGAGCACUCGGGCGUGCACGACGAAAAGUCAGCGACAACCCGGGUACCCCCAUUGUACGAUAAUGAUCCUUCCGCAGGUUCACCUACGGAAA
rnacentral:misc_RNA from 1 species